UACGAAGGGGGCGAGCGUUGUUCGGAUUUACUGGGCGUAAAGGGCGCGCAGGCGGCUUCUCAAGUCAGAUGUGAAAUCCCCGGGCUUAACCUGGGAACUGCGUUUGAAACUACAAGGCUAGAGUGUGGCAGAGGGGGGUGGAAUUCCACGUGUAGCAGUGAAAUGCGUAGAGAUGUGGAGGAACACCGAUGGCGAAGGCAGCCCCCUGGGUUAACACUGACGCUCAGGCACGAAAGCGUGGGGAGCAAACAGG
rnacentral:rRNA from 1 species